CCGUGCCGGAGGGAGAAGGCCCGAACAGGCCAAACAGCUGGCCGAACAGCAAGUGGCGGCAUAAAGGGAGGCCAGCAGGGGGAGGGGGAACCUCCGUGAACCCCCUGCUGCCUCCAACAACUUCCUCAAAGGGGAUCAUUAUUAUGCAUCAUUAGGGAAAAUGUCCCAUACCAGCCCAAAAUAAAUGUCUUUCUCAGUGAGGAAACCUUUAUUAUUACAAAAAAUGAAAUGUUUCUAAAGGAAAGUCUUUGGGACAACUGAAUUACAUUCCAUUUGAUAAAAAUUGGGUGAGCUCUGAAGAACUUUGUUAACUUAAAUG